rnacentral:rRNA from 1 species
UUGGCAGUGGCUUAAUUGCUGCGCCUUGUGUUGCUUUGCGUGUGGUUGCUGGUGCCCUGUGUUGUGGUGGGACGUCAAGGUCAGUUCGUAUGCUGCGGGAAAUGGCUGCCGAGGAGGUAGGGCUUACGCUCCGCGUUUGUCUAUUAUAUCUUGGCGGACGAGUAGUCGCGGUUGGGACUGAGGUGCCUACAACGUGCUUUUGAGUCUGUGGGACUCUCGGUGUGCGGACUGUGUGGAUAGCUUGCUAUGUGCGUGGUUUUGUGUGUCGAUUGAGAUCUGCUGUAACUUGUUGCCGUUCGGGACUUUGACGAAAUGGAGCGAUCCGACCCGUCUUGAAACACGGACCAAGGAGUCUAACAUGUGUGCAAGUGUUAGGGUGUGGAAACCCCAGCGCGAAAUGAAAGUGAAGGGCAGCGUAAGUUGUCUGAGGUAGGAAACCCUGUGUCUUCGGGCUCGGGGUGGCACUAUCGACCGAUCAUGAACCUUCGUGGUGAAAGAUUUGAGUUUGAGCACAUAUGUUGGUACCCGAAAGAUGGUGAACUAUG